GGAAACUGUGCUCCCGUGAGCUGCUGUGGAUCAAGUGUAAAAUUCCAUUCUGGUAUCAAAAUGCAGUAUUCACACCACUGUGAACACCUUUUAGAGAGACUGAACAAACAACGAGAAGCAGGUUUUCUUUGUGACUGCACCAUAGUGAUUGGGGAAUUCCAAUUUAAAGCUCAUAGGAAUGUGCUCGCCUUGCUUAGUGAGUAUUUUGGUGCAAUCUACAGAAGCACUUCUGAGAACAAUGUCUUUCUUGAUCAGAGUCAGGUGAAGGCUGAUGGAUUUCAGAAAUUGUUGGAGUUUAUUUACACAGGAAUUUUAAAUCUUGAUAGUUGGAAUGUUAAAGAAAUUCAUCAGGCUGCUGACUAUCUCAAAGUGGAAGAGGUGGUUACAAAAUGUAAAAUAAAGAUGGAAGAUUUUGCUUUUAUUGCUAAUCCUUCUUCUACAGAGAUAUCUAGUAUUACUGGAAACAUUGAAUUGAAUCAACAGACUUGUCUUCUUACUCUGUGAGAUUAUAACACUUGGGAGAAAUCAGAAUUCUCUGUAGAUUUAGUUCAGGCAAAUCCUAAACAAGGAGCUUUGACAAAGAAGUCAUCUCAAAGUAAAAAGAAGAAGAAGCCUUUCAACUCCCAGACAGCAGGACAGAAUAAAACAGUGCAAUACCCCAGUGACAUUUUAGAAAAUGCAUCUGUUGAAUUAUUCUUAGAUGCAAGUAAGUUGUCCACACCUGUAGUAGAGCAAAUUGCACAGAGAAAUGGUAAUUCAGAACUUGAGUUGACAUCAGUUAUGGAAAACACUUUUCCAGCGCAAGAUACUGUGCAAAUUGUUACAGUGAAACGGAAAUGAGGAAAAUCACAGCCCAGCUGUGCUCUGAAAGAACACUCUAUGUCCAACAUAGCCAGUGUCAAGAGUCCAUAUGAGCUGGAGAACUCGGGAGAAGAGCUGGAUCAGAGGGACUCCAAGGCCAAGCCCGUGUGCAACACGUGUGGGAAAGUGUUUUCAGAAGCCAGCAGCUUGAGAAGGCACAUGAGAAUACACAAAGGAGUCAAACCUUACGUCUGCCAGUUGUGUGGAAAGGCAUUCACUCAGUGUAACCAGCUGAAAACACACGUAAGAACUCACACAGGUGAGAAGCCAUACAAAUGUGAAUUGUGUGAUAAAGGAUUUGCUCAGAAAUGCCAGCUGGUCUUCCAUAGUCGCAUGCAUCAUGGUGAAGAAAAACCCUACAAAUGUGAUGUGUGCAAUUUACAGUUUGCAACUUCCAGCAAUCUCAAGAUCCAUGCAAGGAAGCAUAGCGGAGAGAAGCCAUAUGUCUGUGAUAGGUGUGGACAGAGAUUUGCCCAGGCCAGCACCCUGACCUAUCACGUGCGGCGGCACACCGGGGAAAAGUCGUAUGUGUGUGACACAUGUGGGAAGGCAUUUGCUGUCUCUAGUUCUCUUAUCACUCAUUCUCGAAAACAUACAGGUGAAAAACCAUACAUAUGUGGUAUUUGUGGGAAAAGUUUUAUUUCCUCAGGAGAGCUCAACAAACACUUUCAAUCCCAUACAGGAGAAAGACCAUUUAUCUGUGAAUUGUGUGGAAAUUCUUAUACGGAUAUUAAAAAUUUAAAGAAGCACAAAACAAAAGUCCAUUCUGGUGCAGAUAAAACUCUAGAUUCCAGUAUAGAAGAUUAUAUUGUGAGUGAACAAGAUUCCAUACAAAAAAAGCCCUUUAUCAGAAGCUAUGGAUGUGUAGCCUUCCUAUGUGAUUUUGCCUCUAGCUCUUCCACUUGGGGCUGAGGACCACCACAUGCUUCUGCCUGUCACAGAUAACCAGUCUCCUACGUCAGAGAUGUUGUUGAGGUCAACUGUGAAUGGCUAUGCAGGACCACAGCUGAUUUUUUUUACAACAGUUAUACUAAGUUUGUGAGGAACAUGGGAUCGCUAAGACAUUUCUGGGAGUAACACAGACAUCUCUGGCAAGGUGCAUAUAUCCAUAGUAAAUUCCCAUUCAUUGGAGUUGUGACUAUUUUUCAUUCACUGAAGUAAAGCACCUGAUACAUCAUAAACGCAAUACUUGUUUGAUUUUUGGCUGUUAUAUCUAGACUAGACUACACACAGAUUUUUAAGAAAUGGAUUAUACUACAGUAGCACUAUUUUGGGUUGAUAAGUUUUCUUUUAAAGCUGCCUUAAUUCCACUUGUACUUUUUUUUUUUUUAAGGGGGUCUUGUUGCCUAGGCUGGAGUGCAGAGGCACAAUCAUAGCUCCAGUGAUCUUUCCACCUCAGCCUCCUGAGUAGCUGGGACUACUGUCAUGUGCCACCUCACUCACCUAAUUUUUGUACUUUUUGUAGGGAUGGGGUCUCGCUCAGGCUGGUCUUAAACUCCUGGCCUCAAGUGAUUCUCUUGUCUGGACCUCCCAAAAGUGCUGGGCCUACAGAUGUGACCCACUGCACUUGCCUUGCUUUGCCUCUUAGAGUUGCCCUUUGUUGACUGAAGUAUAAUCACUUUAUUUGAUGUAGUUUUGUUUUCCUCCCCUCAAAAUUUAAGCAAAAUCUAUUGACACUAUCAGCCCAAGAAUGUUGCUGUUUGUAAGCCCCAUAGACCGAUAAAUAAAUGCAGGGGGAAAAAAAUAAAAUUGCUCAUUUUUGCCUGUGAAAAUUUAGGGACUGAAUAAGAAUUGUGCUAUUUCUCUAUUACUGUAUUCAUUAGAGGUAACUUUCUAAUGAAACAAAAAGAAAUGUUUCUCUUAAAGCUAAAAAACUGCAUGUAAAUUUUUAUUUAUUUAGAAUUUAGUAUUCUGGAGAACACCAAGAUCAGUACUUCAGGUUUGAGUUGUUUAGACUAUAUUUUCAAAAUGAAUUUUAGAUAUUUGGUG